rnacentral:rRNA from 1 species
UACAGAGGGGGCAAGCGUUAUUCGGAUUUAUUGGGCGUAAAGAGCGUGUAGGCGGCCAGGUAGGUCUGCUGUGAAAACUCGAGGCUUAACCUCGAGCUGUCGGCGGAAACCAUCUGGCUAGAGUCCGGAAGAGGAGAAUGGAAUUCCCGGUGUAGCGGUGAAAUGCGCAGAUAUCGGGAAGAACACCCGUGGCGAAGGCGGUUCUCUGGGACGGUACUGACGCUGAGACGCGAAAGCGUGGGGAGCGAACAGG